AAACCUGUUGGCUGUGCUGGAGGAGGACGCAGUCAGUUGGAAUAGAAACUGUUCUCUGGCAAUGAAGCCUCCCUGGAUGCCUAAAACAAUCAGCCAACAGAGCUUUCUGGACCUCCAAACUCAUGGGCUCUGUAGUUUUGCAUCUUUUUCUGUAUUCUGACCCUGGGAUGGACUU